AAGAUGCAAGCUCUAAUAAAACUUUGAGGCAACUGUGAAAUUCCAAUAUUGACAUUCCCAUUUUAUACUCAAAAAUUUUUCAUGAACAGUAAAUUAGCUUAACAUACAUGGAGUCAUUUAAUACAAAUGUUGGUGUCAAGUGGCACCCGCUGAGUGAAAAUAUACGCACAUCUCAGGUGAUAUUAUUGGAUUGAAUUUGGCAAGCUUCAUCCAUUUUCAAAGACUCAUGUGUCCGAAAUAUAUACGGUUUUGCAAAUAAAUUUGUUAGAAAAUAUCAUAAAGAGUGACAACAUUUUAGAACAGCUUCACAUAUGCAAAUACUCAGCACAGCGGAUGCGAUGAUUGUGGCCUCUACUAGCAGCACGACCGACGUAAUGGCUGAAUAAUCUCCGUAGGACACAGUAGGACCAUAUACCACUUCCCUAACGCCUUCCCACACAACUACUGGAAAAUAGAUGAGCUGGGGCGACAAUAGUAAUGCUCGAAGGUUUCAAUACCGGGGAGAACUCAUGUAGGUAGCAAAGUGGCAGCCACCUGCAACUCAGGCUUAGACGUUCCAUUACCUGAAUAUGAUCCGAUGAGAAUAACGAUUGCUCGUUUCAAGACCAAAUAGCAGUUGGACCCAAUGGCUUAUCAGCAGAGUUAUUUAAACAUCGACAAUAAACUGAUUGGACCUUACCAGUAUGGCUUUCGUCAUGAUCAACUGGCCGUAGAGGAUAUCCGAAAAAUCUCACUUCUUUAAAAAUGACAACAGCGAGAUGGUCACUGUCAAUAUGGAACAUUAUAGUAGCGUGAUAACCAACUUUUUUCGCUAUGCAUUUGAAGAACAACAAGAUGGGGCCCCACAACACGAUCGAAUAUGGCUUUAUUCCGAGAAAAAUCCGCGUAAUCUGCCGUCUUGCCGAUGUCAGUGCCACCGAUUGUGCGUUUAAACACCGUUGCAUUCUUUUUUUUGGCUAUGCGAAAGACCGUGUUUAUACGAAUGAACCUUUAACUCCUGAGCACUUGAAAACCAGCACUCGUCAAUUAUGGCUGAGAUACUGUCCAAUCAAUCUGAUGAAAAUUUGCUGAAAUUUACGAUUAUUUAUAAAAUUUUCUUCUAUUUAAUCUGCAUCAAUCUACAGUGCAUACAAUGCAAUAUGAAGCUAAUCAAUAUUCAAAUAUGUGCAAGAACAACGAAAAAACGACACACCAACAGAUAUAAUAUCAUAAGCAUUUGUUAAUGGAAAAAGUUAUGCGAACAAAAUCAACGAGAGUGACAAACAACGCUAGUAAAUGGUGACAGCAAUCACAACAGGUAACCGCAUACAAACACAACAAAAAAAAAACAAUAAUAAUAACAACAACAACACACAUUGCAAUAGCAACAACUAUGAGCAAACAAACGGAUUUAUGACUAAAGCACUUGCAGCGGCCAACAGCAGCAGCAGCAACAAAUAGCAGAGAAGAGUGCAGCAUACCAACAACCGGCUAUGAGACAUGCACAAACAGCAGAACAAAUAGCAAAUAUCAAUAACACUGUUAAAGGCAACACCAUGGAUGGUCAUAUAAGAAGAAGCGCCGUCCGCUGUGGCAACUUGUUAGUGGCAAAUGCAAAAAAACAAUAAGAAUUAAAACACAAAUGAAUGAAUUUAAUAAAAUAAAAUUAUAAUUCAAGCA